AUUGAACGCUGGCGGCAGGCCUAACACAUGCAAGUCGAGCGGAUGAAGGGAGCUUGCUCCUGGAUUCAGCGGCGGACGGGUGAGUAAUGCCUAGGAAUCUGCCUGGUAGUGGGGGAUAACGUCCGGAAACGGGCGCUAAUACCGCAUACGUCCUGAGGGAGAAAGUGGGGGAUCUUCGGACCUCACGCUAUCAGAUGAGCCUAGGUCGGAUUAGCUAGUUGGUGGAGUAAAGGCCUACCAAGGCGACGAUCCGUAACUGGUCUGAGAGGAUGAUCAGUCACACUGGAACUGAGACACGGUCCAGACUCCUACGGGAGGCAGCAGUGGGGAAUAUUGGACAAUGGGCGAAAGCCUGAUCCAGCCAUGCCGCGUGUGUGAAGAAGGUCUUCGGAUUGUAAAGCACUUUAAGUUGGGAGGAAGGGCAGUAAGUUAAUACCUUGCUGUUUUGACGUUACCAACAGAAUAAGCACCAGCUAACUUCGUG
rnacentral:rRNA from 1 species